GCCAGUUAACAGGAUUACAGUAAUCUGGCAAGGACACUUACUUUCCGUCUCCUUUAUGGCCAGUAGUGUGACUAGACUCUGCCACCAUUAAGGCAGUCCAUGGUGCAUUUUAGACACAAGAUAUAUGUGACCUAUGCAAGUAGCAUGUUUUAAGCACUGGAAAAUGUGCCCUCAAUAGACACUGUAAAAAAAAAAAUGUUGGUCCACUUUAGACUUUCUAACUAUAACUUUGCAAGAAACUUUCUACCUGCCUUAUCAUGGCCACGAAGUCCGCCAUUAAUCUGUUUAUGUUCUCUGUAUUGUUUCUGAUUCUGGAUAUCCUUUGACAUACUUGACGCUGUUCUCUGAUUAAUGCCUGUCUGACCAUUCUCUAAAUAAAUAUACUGCAAAGCGGAUCUGAACAUCUCUGACUCUGCAUCACAGUCUACAUACUUUUUUUAAAAUCUUUUUUUAUUUUCUGUCUUUUCUAUUUAGAGAUAAUUUGACCUUGAAUAAGACUUAUGAUAUGGACUGACAGUGACACUAUAUUUUACACAUCAACGCAGACAUUUACAGACAAUACAGUAUUUGAGGGUGGGAGCCAAACAGACCUUCAGUCCUGAAAAUGUCUUUGAUAUCUGGUCCUCUGGUAAAACCCUUUCUAUUAAGCUAGUUGUUUUGACAUUGUUUGGCAUGCUGUAAGCCCCUCAGAGCAAGAACAGUGCAUGGGUCACACUUACAUAAGCCGCUGACUCAAUCCAGUUUUUCCUUUUUUAGUGUCACUGUUUGUGUCUCCGGGCGAGUGGUCUGGUAUUAAUGCAUGAAUUUCUGUGUUUGUUUUAUGAAAGUCUUGGAGGUAUUCAUAGUAAUUGCAGUGUAGUUUCUCUUUGUAUAUCCUAUCCUUUUAAAGUAAAAAAAAAAAAAUUAUUUGUCUUAUAUUGUACAUUGCAACACCUCUUUUCAUCCUCUGCCUGAAAUGUCCUGGUUUAGAUCCCUUUCUUUAUAAAGCCCCCAUUCCAAAAUGCCCGGUCUCUGAAUGGUCAGUUGUGGCCCUGUCUGUUGUGAUUGGUCAACUGCUUAGAGUGUGUGGGAAAUGUAAUGCUACGGCCACACAUACUGUACACAGGGGCACAAAAAUGGGGUAUGCAGUAUAAUAUUUGCGGUGCAUGGGGCACCGCAUGAGAGUAAGGAGGCAUUUUACAUAUAAAACUGAAAAAUACAACACACAAAAAUUGUCACAGUGUCUGGUCUGUGUAUCCCUGGGUGUCCACUAGAGGUCUCACUUCCCAUUAUCGUCACCCCACUUCAGUACUACAUUUCCCACUAGCCUUAUCUGUUCAUCACUGUUUAUUGUAUUCAGCUGUCACCACUUACCUUGUUUGCACCUGUCUAUAAAUACCCUGGUUGUUUCUGUCAUUGUUACGGAGUCCUUGUGCAAUGUCACCCUGCUUUUCGUGUUUCCAUUCUGUUGUUUAUGUUUCUUGUUUUUGGACUGCUCACCUGGAUUUUGACCUUUGCCUGGCUGGAUUAUGAGUUUGGAUUAUUCUUAAUAAACACUGCAUUUGGAUCUACCUGUCUGUGUGCGUUUCGUGACAGAAGGACUCCGUCAAACCUAGAUCCAGCAGUAUGUUUUUUGAGGUUUCUCCCCCUGCCAUCGAGCGGGAGAGAAGGAGUGGGUUCGAGGGAACCCGCCUGGUCGUUUUUCGUGGGACCCGGGGAGGUCGCAGAGGAGUGAGUGGUCGAGAGGAGGUCCGGCAUCGCUCUCCACCAGGGCCCCCCUUCGACCCUGGGCUCGUGAGGGACGGAUCGGAACUGCCGUAUCUCCAUCACGGACAGAGAAGGGGGAGGAAGCACACGUCUGUCGUUCCUGAGACCGUUCACGUUACGUCUGCCGAGCCUGUGUCUUCGGACAAGACGGCCGCGGAAACAUUCUUGGACUAUUUUUCUGUGCUGUCCAAGAUCCUAGAGAUUCCCAACAGUGUUCAUGUCACGGCUGCUGAGCCAGCACCACAGUCCAGGAUGGUAGCCAACCCAGCGCCACAGCACAAGAUGGCCGCCAGCUCAGCGUGCCCAGCGCCACAGCACAAGAUGGCCGCCAGCCCAGCACCACAGCACAAGAUGGCCGCCAGCCCAGUGCCAUUGCACAGGAUGGCCGCCAGCUCAGCGUGCCCAGCGCCACAGCACAAGAUGGCCGCCAGCCCAGCACCACAGCACAAGAUGGUUGACUCAACGCCUGAGUCUUCCGUCAAGGAGCCACCGGCACGCCAUCAUAGAGGCCGCAGGAGGAGGAGACAGGCGUCAGCCGUUCCUCAAAGCCCGGAGGACGUUCCCGAGCAGGCCGCUGCCGUCCAGGAGGACGUUCCCGAGCAGGCCGCUGCCGUCCAGGAGGACGUUCCCGAGCAGGCCGCUGCCGUCCAGGAGGACGUUCCCGAGCAGGCCGCUGCCGUCCAGGAGGACGUUCCCGAGCAGGCCGCUGUCGUCCAGGUGGACGUGCCCAAGGUUCUGGAGGUCGAGGCGGUGCCCGAUGCUGUUCUGGAGGUCGAGGCGGUGCCCGAUGCCGUUCCGGAGGCCGAGGUGGUGCCCGAUGCCGUUCCGGAGGUCGAGGCGGUGCCCGAUGCCGAGGCAGUGACCGAUGCUGUUCCGGAGGUCGAGGCGGUGCCCGAUGCCAUUCCGGAGGUCGAGAUGGUUCCGGAGGUCGAGAUGGUUCCUGAGGCCGAGGCGGUGGCCGAUGUCCAAAGCCGUUCCCGAGGCGGUGUCCAAUGCCGUGACCUGGCCAUCGCCACAGUCUGCUCCUCACUGGCUCUCCGAAUGGCAGGUUCCGUUCGGGCCACUCAAAUGGCGAAUUCCUCCCUGGCCAUCUGCACAACGAGAAUGGACUGAUCCACCGUGGCCACCUGAACUGCCUGGCCCCUCGUGGUCCCCUGAACUUUCGGGUCCACCGUGGCCCUCUGAUCUGACCGAGCCACCUUGGCUGCCAGGGGAGCCAUCGCUGCCGGUCCCAGUUCCCCUACACGGGCCUGGCCCGCCAUCCCUCCCCCUGUUCUGCCUCCACCAGUCCACCUCCCUCCUGGUCUCGUUGUUUUGUUUUGGUUGUUGUGUUCUGGGGAGCAUCUGGAAGCUGCUCCUUAGAGGGGGGCUAAUGUCACAGUGUCUGGUCUGUGUAUCCCUGGGUGUCCACUAGAGGUCUCACUUCCCAUUAUCGUCACCCCACUUCAGUACUACAUUUCCCACUAGCCUUAUCUGUUCAUCACUGUUUAUUGUAUUCAGCUGUCACCACUUACCUUGUUUGCACCUGUCUAUAAAUACCCUGGUUGUUUCUGUCAUUGUUACGGAGUCCUUGUGCAAUGUCACCCUGCUUUUCGUGUUUCCAUUCUGUUGUUUAUGUUUCUUGUUUUUGGACUGCUC
ensembl:lncRNA